CGUCCACUAAGCACCGGAAGCGGAAACGCGAUCCCCAGAAGGACUGGGUUUUGCCAGACUCCAUUUCCCAUAGGCCUCCGUGCCCGCAGACUGACAACAGCACUAGCCAAUAAGAUGUGAGAACGGCCUAGACGUCUGUGUUUCAGACGAAUCACUGAUGAGGGGUGGGACUUUACUGCACGCGGGAUCUGGGAGUUCAGAGCCACAGCCUGGAGCAGACCCAGCGGAGGUGGUGUGGUCCUACCCGCUUCCCGACUGCCGGGGGCCCUGAGUGAGAGAGAGGGAGAGCCUUUGGGGGCCCGGGGUCUGCGAGUGCGCCGCCGAGACUCCAAUUCAGAUUUUUCGCCACUUCAGAAAGUACUUUUCCGGCAUGGUUGUCCACUAUGGCAAUGCUUUUACCACCACCACCACCACCCCUCCACACACACGCACGUCCGCCACACACCCUCAUUUCCUGCGUGCACAGCCCUGGGAGAUUUAAGGUCCAACUUGGGGCUCAAACUCAUGACCCGAGAUCAAGAGUGGCAUGCCAAUGACUGAGCCAGCCAGGCGCCUCUGGUGGAUGCAAUUUUAAAAUGCUGCCCUGAACAACCCACAUAUCUCCAAUGCAGUGUGGGGCGCCUGGGCAGCUCAGUCGGUUAAGCGUCCAACUUCAUCUCAG